UACACGCUGACGAGCGGCGGACGGGUGAGUAAUGCAUAGGAAUCUGCCCGAUAGUGGGGGAUAACCUGGGGAAACCCAGGCUAAUACCGCAUACGUCCUACGGGAGAAAGGGGGCUCCGGCUCCCGCUAUUGGAUGAGCCUAUGUCGGAUUAGCUAGUUGGUGAGGUAACGGCUUACCAAGGCGACGAUCCGUAGCUGGUCUGAGAGGAUGAUCAGCCACAUCGGGACUGAGACACGGCCCGAACUCCUACGGGAGGCAGCAGUGGGGAAUAUUGGACAAUGGGGGCAACCCUGAUCCAGCCAUGCCGCGUGUGUGAAGAAGGCCCUCGGGUUGUAAAGCACUUUCAGCGAGGAAGAACGCCUGUCGGUUAAUACCCGGUAGGAAAGACAUCACUCGCAGAAGAAGCACCGGCUAACUCCGUGCCAGCAGCCGCGGUAAUACGGAGGGUGCAAGCGUUAAUCGGAAUUACUGGGCGUAAAGCGCGCGUAGGUGGCUUGAUAAGCCGGUUGUGAAAGCCCCGGGCUCAACCUGGGAACGGCAUCCGGAACUGUCAGGCUAGAGUGCAGGAGAGGAAGGUAGAAUUCCCGGUGUAGCGGUG
rnacentral:rRNA from 2 species